UGUUCAGUGGAGGGGACACCUCAUCAGCACAGUGCAGCUCUAAUAUGUUAAGCCAAUGACACGAACACUGGAUCAAACAGCUGAGUGUGUAAAAAGAUGGAGGAACAACUUGGACUUGACUGGAUGCAAAAGCAGCACAGCUUUCUCCUUUUCUAAUUUGUAUGGACAGAUGAGGACAAACGUACUCCUGAAUGUAGCUCAAUGAAGUUGUAACACAAUAGGGCAACAUCCAAAAAUGAAUCUCCUGAUUCAACUGCACCAAAGCCCUUGAGCCCAUGAGGUUUGUUUGAAUAAAUAGGCUGCAUAUACUAUC